GGCUGCGCAGUGUCGGCACAUCCGGGCACUGGGGCAGGAUGAGCGCUCCUUUCCAAGAUGGCGGCGGAGGGAGGUGGGAAGGAGAUGAACGAGAUUAAGACCCAGUUCACCACCCGGGAGGGGCUGUACAAGCUGCUGAGCCACUCGGAGUACAGCCGGCCUAACCGCGUGCCCUUCAACUCGCAGGGCUCUAACCCCGUCCGUGUCUCUUUCGUCAACGUCAACGACCAGAGCGGCAACGGGGACCGGCUCUGCUUCAAUGUGGGCCGGGAGCUCUACUUCUACAUCUACAAGGGGGUCCGCAAGGCUGCGGACUUGAGUAAACCAAUAGACAAAAGGAUAUACAAAGGAACACAGCCUACAUGCCACGACUUCAAUCAUUUAACAGCCACAGCAGAAAGUGUGUCUCUUCUAGUGGGCUUCUCUGCAGGACAGGUCCAACUUAUAGACCCUAUUAAAAAAGAAACUAGCAAAUUAUUUAAUGAGGAAAGACUAAUAGACAAGUCCCGAGUAACCUGUGUAAAAUGGGUACCAGGUUCGGAAAGCCUUUUCCUAGUAGCUCAUUCCAGUGGCAAUAUGUACUUGUAUAACGUGGAGCACACUUGUGGUACCACAGCCCCGCACUACCAGCUACUUAAACAAGGAGAGAGUUUUGCAGUGCACACUUGCAAGAGUAAAUCCACAAGAAACCCUCUGCUUAAAUGGACAGUAGGUGAGGGUGCCCUGAAUGAAUUUGCCUUUUCCCCUGAUGGGAAGUUCUUGGCGUGUGUGAGCCAGGAUGGUUUUCUUCGCGUGUUUAACUUUGAUUCGGUGGAAUUGCAUGGUACAAUGAAAAGCUACUUUGGAGGACUGCUGUGUGUGUGUUGGAGCCCCGAUGGGAAAUACAUAGUGACAGGUGGAGAGGAUGACUUGGUGACAGUUUGGUCUUUCGUGGACUGUCGAGUCAUAGCGCGAGGCCACGGACACAAAUCGUGGGUCAGUGUCGUUGCGUUUGAUCCAUAUACCACUAGUGUAGAAGAGAGUGACCCGAUGGAAUUUAGCGGAAGCGAUGAGGAUUUCCAAGACCUUCAUUUUGGCAGAGAUCGAGCAAAUAGCACGCAAUCUAGACUAUCCAAAAGGAACUCUACAGACAGUCGUCCAGUAAGUGUUACGUAUAGAUUUGGUUCGGUAGGCCAGGACACACAGCUCUGUUUGUGGGAUCUUACAGAAGAUAUCCUCUUCCCCCACCAACCUCUCUCAAGAGCAAGGACACAUACAAAUGUCAUGAAUGCCACAAGUCCACCUGCAGGAAGUGGUGGAACUAACCCAGGAAGUAAUGGAAACAGUAUCACAACACCUGGAAACUCUGUACCCCCUCCUCUUCCACGGUCAAACAGCCUUCCACACUCUGCAGUCUCAAAUGCUGGCAGUAAAAGCAGUGUCAUGGAUGGUGCCAUUGCUUCUGGCGUUAGUAAAUUUGCAACCUUAUCGCUACACGAUCGGAAGGAAAGACACCAUGAAAAAGAUCACAAGAGAAACCAUAGCAUGGGACAUAUAUCUAGCAAGAGCAGUGACAAACUGAACCUAGUUACUAAAACCAAAACGGACCCAGCUAAAACUUUGGGAACACCUCUCUGUCCCCGAAUGGAAGAUGUUCCCUUGUUAGAGCCUCUUAUCUGUAAAAAGAUAGCACAUGAAAGACUGACUGUGUUAAUUUUUCUUGAAGACUGUAUAGUCACUGCUUGUCAGGAGGGAUUUAUUUGCACAUGGGCAAGGCCUGGUAAAGUGAUUCAGCAGAACACAGACAUGGCUGUCUCUAGAUUCUCUCUGCACACCUGUCCGGUAGGAGCUGGGGCAGAGUGUCGUCAUUCCUUCUAGGACUCUACAGGAGCUCUUUCCUCUGUGGACUCUGGUGCAGGUGACCUCUGUUAAGAGAAAAACUUCUUUAUAUACACAGAAGAGAAGUUGCAAGUGAAACUCUAAAGGUGCUACAGUCUUUUAUAAGGUCUGGUGUCAAAUGGUUUAUGCAUUUAUACUUUCGUGUAAUGUUAUCAGAGGAACAGAGGAAAAAAAGGCAAAUGGAAUACAAAUUUAAAAGCCCAUUUAGUGAACACACAAACUGUGUAAAGACAGCUUUGCUAUAUCCCCCUAAAUCCCAUACAAAAUAUUUCUCUGUAGCAUGUUAUGUGAAUGAACAGCAUGUGCUUUCCUGAGCAUUUUUAUUAAUUUUAUUACUCCAUUAGAGAUUAAUAUGUGAUUUAGUGAGUAUAUGCAGUUCAGAAGCUUUUGCUGUUAAACACUUAUUCUUUGGAUAAAGAACUUGAAGAUUUUGUUCAUGCAAGCCUUAAAACCAGUUCAGAUAAUUUAACUACAGAAUUUUAAACAAAUGUGAGAAAUCUCACUUUGGUUUUGGUGUAUUAUUGCUCAAUCACCGUAAUGGACCAUGGGCUCAAGCAAAGCUUCAGUCCAAAUUACUUUGUAACUCCAGUUAUGUAGUAACCCUAAUUACUCCAGGAAUGUCACAGUUCUGGACAAGAAUAAACUACUCCUGGAGUAUUUUUCAAAUAAUAAUUUCCCAUUAUUUUACAUACUGGCAAUAGUAGAAAUGGUUUAACAAACCAGUAUCAUUCUUGUAUGGACAUUUGUUAAUUCAGCCAUAUUUUAAUUGGUCUAAUUGCAUUAGGGAAGUGUACUAUGAGACUUCUUUUUUUACAUUUGAUUACUUGUUAUGUUGGACCCUUUCCUUUAUUUUUUUCUACCUUUCAAUUUCAAACCAGAAAGUAGAAAGAUGAGCAGUUUAACAUCCAGCAUGUUCUGAGUGCCAGUGGAGCUGUUUCCCUGAAGGAGACAUGCACUUUCUGGAUCCUGCUUGCAUGUCCAAACUUGCUGUUUAUUAUCUAGAUUAGUGGAACUGUUUAUGAUUGCACCUUUGGCUCCAAUUAAACAUCUUCUAAUUUAAAUUAAGAAAAUAUUAACACAGUGGCUACUGUUGACUAUUUUCCUACUUAGUAUUGCAAUAUCUUCCUGGGUUGUUUUUUUUUUUUAAUGUAGCAAUUACAUGCUGAUCUUUCAUAUAAUUAGUUUCUCUUGUGAAACAUUGUUUCAUGUCUUUGGAAAAAAGCCCCAGACUUUUGUCUGGAUUGUAUGUGGAAUUUUAAAAAAUAUACCCACCCCUCUCCUCACAAUCUCAUGAUGGGGAGGAGGGUUUGUGUUUGUGCUGCUGCAGUGAACAGAUCCCAGCAAAUGAGUGCCACGAGCCUCGGGUGCAAAUGGCCUUCCUGAUUGUAUUUGUUAUGGCUUUUCACCCCUACCCAUGCCAGUGUAUUUUUGCCAGAUGUGCAAAGUCCUGUAUGUUUCAGGAAGUCAGAGAAUGCAUGGAUAAACAGGAUAGCCCUUGCAGCUAGAGCUGAAGCAGCCUGUGUUCAAUACUCACAGUGCUGACUGACUUAGGAGAAAUGACCCCAUCCUUUGAGAGCUGCAUUGCUCAGCCGUGGAGUGUCCCAUUAAGAUGACAGCAGCUACCUCUCUGAGGUUGGGAUGAAUGUCGUUUUACUAAAUUCCGGUCUUGGAUCUCAUAACUCUUCCAUUUCCUGAGCCUGCUAGACUCAUAUGCUGACAAAAUACUACUGCUAAUAAAACACUACAUUUAUUUACAAAACUUUGAGCAGUGUCUUAAUUUGUUCCUGCUGCUUGCUCAGUGGGAUUCGUUUGUCCUUAAGCCUGAAGCUGCUGCACUAUGCAGCAGAGCUGCAGCUGUUGUGGCUCUGCUCUUCCCUGUUUCCUGUCACAGCUGUUAAACAGGCUGACUUGGCUGUUGCUCUAAUAAGUUGCUGCAGCUUUUGUUUCAUCUUUUCCCACCUGAUAGACUGGGUGGUUCCAUCACAGAAAGCACUACACUCUAAUGGCUUUCUUCUUUCUUUACAGGCAGGAGCUUUUUAUAUUUUUUCAUUACCUUACCCAUCAUAUUCUUCCAGAGAAUACAACUACAACUGUUCCAAUCCCACACCCUUUGUAUCACAUAUGAGAUGUACUGUGAACUUUUGUAUCAAAGCAGUAACUUUAUUUCAGCCCUCACUUGCUUUUCUUAAGUUGUUUUCCUCUAUCUCCUGUGUUACACUGAACACAGCCUGGUGAAUAGCCUUGCUUGGAAGGCUCUGAUACAAUGGCAAAAUGCUGUAGAAUUUUUGUUUUAAUCAGGACCUACUGAGAACUCAUCACCUUCGGUGAAACUUAUGUGCCUAAAGACCAAAUUCAUACUCUUUGCUUUUCUUGUAUGAACAUUUAAGAUGUCGUCUGAAAUCAAGUACUUGAAAGAACUCACAGACUUUCUGGUCUCUCCCCUGGGAGUGAAUUUCUGAAUGCAUCAUAGCCUAGUCCAAGUUUUAAGGCAGUACUUGCAUACAUUUGUUCCAUCUGCAGAAGCACAAGGAUAUUGGUCUUGAGGUUAUUUCCACUUCGAUGUUCCUCUGGCUUGCCUGCUCAGAGCUGCAGAAUUACUUCAGAGCGAGGACUGAAAUACAAGGAAUUCCUAGUACUCACUGAAAGCCAUCUGCACUGAGCUGCUGCUCUUCAAAGCAGAGAGCAUUCACCACCUAUGAGGUGUAACCAGGACUGACUCCUUGUUCCUAGUCUUGGAACUUGCAUUCUAGAGUGGCUGGUAGUUGACAGGGAAUGAGGCACCACACUGAAUUUCAGUAUGUGCUGCCAGUUUCUAGAGGAAUCCUAGGAAAAUAACUUCAUUUUGUUUCCCAAGAAUAGGUUGCAUUACAAUGUAAAUCCAAUGCUAGAAUAGGGCUUAUUUCUCCUGUAUAGGGUGGUUAUGAGCCUGUUGAAAAAGACUUGACAUUAUGCCAUCCCGAGAGCUUCCUGUGUGCUUAUAAAGCACAUAUUUGCAUAUGAACAGUUUGGAUUGCUGAUUUAAUUAAGACUGAAAAUAAUACCUUUGGACGUCUUUUUCCAGGGUACUUCAAAGUUGCUUAGUGGAUGUAAUCUUCUGACAAGAAAGACCUUCCAGUUGCUGCUGGAUUUAAUAGACUUGUGAAGAAUGCUUCAGUAAUGAACUAGUGAAUUCUGAUUCAACCUUGUCACUUUCCAACAAAACUUCCCUGGGUUUAUUGUCAUCCCAAAACCAGGCCAAUUCUCCAAGUGGAACUGUAGUAUAGCCAUCACACUACUGCUAGCAAAUCUCUGAACGCAGGACAAGAAGUAAUGACAGUGGAACCACGAGCUGUUCUUCAGGCAAAGAGCGUCACAAAUUGUAAUGUGGCAGAGUGUAAACAUGGAAUUAUGUGAAUCACAUAGUGACUUGCAAAGGACAAAUGUAAGGAGUUCUCACUACAGCUGAUCCUGCUAGGCUGCUCACCCAAGGAAGAGUUUGCAUUGGAGAAAAAGCAAAAAGCUUCCUUUAGUAUUGCAGGAAAAAGUAGUAACAUUUUUGUUUUCUUUAUACUUUUCAAGUCCAGUGUAAUUUAAUCUCUCUAUAAAUAUAUAAAUAAAAGAAAUAUAUAUAUAUAUAUAGUGUAAAAUAAGAUAUGUUUCUUAAAUUCAAGUAAGUUCAAUGGUUAAACUAGUACUUCACCAUUGUUUAUUUUGCACUGAUUUUUUUAACCAGAGAUGGCUAGAAGACAGCCUGGAAUGCACUCAUGGAAAUUGAAAGUCAUUACUUUCUGGCUUCAAAAUGUUUUUCAGGAAGAUGGAUGCUGCAAUCAUAGAUUUUUUUAAAACAAAAUUGUUUUGCACUUAAAUAGUUUAAUGCUUAUAGAGAAUUACUUUAAAAUUGGUGUCCAGACACCAGAAAAACUAUGUUGUGGAGAAAAGAUCCUUUGUAUCUAUUAAACAUUUAUUUUAAUAUUGUUGUUUCCAACUGCAAUCGGCUCUGUAUUAUAUGUAUAAAUAAUGUAAUUCAGUGAUGGGGGAUGGGAGUAAUGGAUCAUUACACUAGAAAUUCUCAUUCAUUUAAGAAAGUGAUAUUUCUAAUUCAGAAAAUACAUAUUAAACUAUCUUGAAUAUGCA